GAGAGCCCGUUGCGUUGAGAGGCGCACGGCGGGUUCGGCGAGAGGUCCGGGGAAACUGGCCGGGAGCAAUCCCGAC
rnacentral:autocatalytically_spliced_intron from 1 species